AACCCUUGUCCUUAGUUACCUAGCACGUUAUGGUGGGCGACUCUAAGGAGACUGCCGGUGCAAACCGGAGGAAGUGGGGAUGACGUCAAGUCAUCAUGGCCCUUACGGCCUGGGCUACACACGUGCUACAAUGGUCGGUACAAAGGGUUGCCAAGCCGCGAGGUGGAGCUAAUCCCAUAAAACCGAUCGUAGUCCGGAUCGCAGUCUGCAACUCGACUGCGUGAAGUCGGAAUCGCUAGUAAUCGUGAAUCAGAAUGUCACGGUGAAUACGUUCCCGGGCCUU
rnacentral:rRNA from 1 species